UUUUUGGCUUUCAGAGGGCCCCGGACCUUUGCCACCUCCAUCUGACUUUUUGCUUUCAGUUUGGUACCAAAGCCGUGCAGCACGCCUGUCUGUUGUUUGUUUGACUGUUGGUGUUGUUUGUUUUCUCUGUGUUCUAAUCUUCCUUAGAACUAACAUGGGACAGUCCCUAACAACGCCCCUAAGUCUCACUCUUGAUCAUUAAAAAGACGUCCACGACCGGGCACACAACCAGUCCGUCGAGGUUAAAAAAAAAAAAAAAGGAAAAUGGCAGACUCUCUGCACAUCCGAGUGGCCCACUUUCGGAGCGGGAUGGCCAGUGAAUGGCACAUUUAAUAAGAUCAUUAUUUUACAGGUUAAAGAUCGGGUCGUCCACGGACAUCCUGACCAGGUUUCUUAUAUUAUCACUUGAGAGAGUCUCGCCUUAACCACCCCCCCCGGGCGGAACCCUUCGUGGACCCGAAUUGGCCUCCCCUCAACCCCCAGCCUGUCCCCUCGGCCCCGCCCGGUCCGCCGGCCACGUCUUCCUCUCUCUACCUUUGUGAAAUCAGAGCCUUCUAAGAAACCUGUCCUCCCGGCAGACCCAAACUCCCCUCUCAUAGAUCUUCUCUCUGACAGGCCCGGCUAAAACGGAGGAGGCAGAGCCGCCGGCCAGAUCAGUUGCCGGGCCACAGUCUGAUAAGGGUUUCUCCCCUGUCGCAGGGAGAUUGCACAAUAAGCGAGAGGUGAUGCCAGAUUUCAACCUCCCAGGCUUUCCCACCUAGACAGGGAACCGGUGGCCAGACCCAAUACUGGCCGUUUUCAGCAGCUGACAUUUACAAUUGGAAACAACACAACCCUUCUUUCUCCAAAGAUCCGGUGGCACUCACCGACCUAAUAGAAUCUGUUUUACUUACCCACCAGCCUACUUGGGAUGACUGCCAACAGCUCUUACAGGCCCUCUUAACCUCAAGAAAAAAAAAAAAAAAACAAAGAGUGUUCCUAGAGGCCAGAAAGCAUGUUCUGGGAGAUGAUGGGCGUCCCACCCAGCUGCCUGAGGAAAUUGAUGCUGCAUUCCCACUUAAGAGACCAAACUGAGAUUUUAAUACAGCCGAAGAGGAGGCAGAACAGCAUGACUGCCUACAAAUCCUCACAGAAGUACAUGGAACCAGGCCGGACCUAUCGGACCAGCCUCUUCAGAAUGCUGACCACACAUGGUACACAGAUGGCAGCAGCUUCUUGGCAGAGGGAGAGCGAAAGGCUGGAGCUGCGGUCACUACGGAAGACAAAGUAAUUUGGGCAAAAGCCCUGCCUGCUGGUACCUCCACACAACGGGCUGAACUCAUCGCCUU
ensembl:lncRNA